rnacentral:rRNA from 1 species
UACGAAGGGGGCUAGCGUUGUUCGGAAUUACUGGGCGUAAAGCGCACGUAGGCGGAUACUUAAGUCAGGGGGUGAAAAUCCCGGGGGCUCAACCCCCGGAAACUGCCUUUGAUACUGGGUAUCUCGAGUCCGGAAGAGGUGAGUGGAAUUCCGAGUGUAGAGGUGAAAUGCGCAGAGAUCGGAAGGAACACCCGUAGCGAAGGCGGCACUCUGGGCCGGUACUGACGCUGAGGAGCGAAAGCGUGGGGAGCAAACAGG